GUUAAUGCUCAAAUAUGUAUCAUAUAUAUAAUAAUAAUAUAACAUAUCACUCCACUAUUUCAUCAAAUUAUUUCUUCCCUGAAAUACAAUUCAUUUGAUUACUCGAUAAUGUUGGCUAUAUUUUACGCCAUAAUUCUAUACUCAUUAUGAUUCCUACUGAGAGUGGACCUGAUUAGUAGAUCUGAUUAUAGAGCAAUAAUCAUAAUUAUGAUUUUUAUUCCCAACCAAUUAUUAAUCGAUUCAUAAAAUUUUCUUUUCGGAAUGAAGAUAAGUACUUAGUUGGAUUUCAAUAUGAUGCUCAAUGUCUCGUUUUCAAUUUUUAUGGUUGUUUUGUCAGUAAAUGCUCGUAGCAAUAGAUUGGAAAAUAAUUUCGCAGUAGAUCCUUCAGAAGCCCUAGAAGAAGAGGACGAAGGUUGGCAAAUUAUUCCGAAAGUGAAUAAAGAUAGUCGGGGCAAUGUUUAUGGUUCUCUUGCAGCUAUAAAAAAAAUUGGAAAAAUAGUUUUUGAGGUAAAAUGGACCAAAGUUAUCUAUGGCCCGGAUACAUAUGGAUCGUUAAAUGUUACAAGCUCGCUCAAUCUAUGAGUACUCAUUACUGAUAAGCAUAAUGUGACUCAUUAAUAAAGGCUACAUCAUUUUCGUAUUACAAGUCA